UAAAUGAACAAUUAAGGUGUCUAUGAAAUUU
rnacentral:piRNA from 1 species